rnacentral:misc_RNA from 1 species
GGCCAGUUUGCAUCGCAAGGGCUAAAGAUUUUGGGGAAGUGAUACAGCUGCUGGGCAGCAUUAGACACCCUAAUUUAGUCCCUCUUUUGGGGUUCUAUGCAGGGCCGAGUGGGGAAAAGCUUCUUGUUCAUCCGUUUUUCAGACGUGGCAGUUUGGCUCAGUUCAUCAGAGGUAAGUGGAUUAGUUUGUUAAGCCUCAAACAGUUGCUCCUGUACAACAAGGCCUUGUAUAAGGUACCAUAGUUGGAUUUUCC